AUUGAACGCUGGCGGUAUGCCUAACACAUGCAAGUCGAACGGUAACAGAGGAAAGCUUGCUUUCUUGCUGACGAGUGGCGGACGGGUGAGUAACGCGUGGGAAUCUACCCAGUAGUUGGGGAUAGCCCGGAGAAAUCCGGAUUAAUACCGAAUAAUGUCUACGGACGAAAAGAUGCCUCUACUUGUAAGCAUUUGCUAUUGGAUGAGCCCGCGUUAGAUUAGUUUGUUGGUGGGGUAACGGCCUACCAAGACUGCGAUCUAUAGCUGGUUUGAGAGGAUGAUCAGCCACAUUGGGACUGAGACACGGCCCAG
rnacentral:rRNA from 1 species